GCUCCUGUAGCCCAAUUGGUAGAGGCCACUAACUCAAAAUUAGUGUUAUGUAUGAGUUCAAAUCUCAUCAGGAGCA
rnacentral:tRNA from 6 species